AACCAGCAUAGUGCCCUAUGACUGCUCACCUGUUCACUUUGUGAACAGGUACAGGUACCUGUUCAUUUUGCAGGCAGUGUAACGCUUUGGAUUUUCUUUAUUCUUAUCAAACUAUUUAUGUCCCACUUCCCUUGUUGGCAGUUUUCUAGUUAAACCAGGGAAUUAAUUCCAACGUGUUAAUGCUAUACUUCUCAAUCUCGAAGUAGAAACACAUUGAUGAAGGAAGUGGAGAGGAGAUGAAGCAUAAUAUGGCGAAUACUGGAAACCUAGUCCUCUUCCACCUUUAUAACGGAAAGGAAAAUGAAUAUACCUAAGGAUCUAGCUGAUGAUCUGGAUGAUAAAACUUGAGAAAAUGUCCCAGGAAACAAAAAGAAGAAAAGACAAAGGGAAGAAUAA